AUGUCGUGGAGGGAUCCCGCGGUGCGGGCGACGGGGAGGUUCAACUCCCGGCCGCAGCCUGUGCCGCCGGCCACGCCGCACCCCCCGCCGGUGGUGGUUAUCGACGAGGAUGAGGACGACGUUGCUGCGGAAUCUGAGGUUUUCAUUAUUGAUGAUGAUGAUGAUGUGGAGAUAGCCCGUGUGACGGCUGCGUGCAGUAGCAAGAAAGGGAACAGCUCUUGUAGCAAUGUGAUCAACAUAGAUGAUGAUGAUGACGAGGAGGAGGAAGAGGAGGGUGGUCGGGCUGGCCCCAGCAUGGCAGGCGCCGGCUCUCCAGCGGCGACAACUACCCCUGUGCGUGCUUCUCCUAGAAACAGAUAUGGGCUGGAUUAUGUUUCUGACAGUGAGGACAGUGAUCUCUCUGAAGGACCGGACUCAGACUCAGACGGCGAUGGCAGCUCGGAUUGUGAGAUUCUGGGUGACACUGGGACUGCUCGUAAGGUUUGGGAGAAGGCUGCUUCAAGAAGAACAACGCUUCAUCAUCCCCCGCAUCAAAAAGAUGGCAGGGCUAGUACUUCUGCAUCGAGUGCCGAGUCAAGUACACACUAUGAUGAACCUCCAGAGAACCUCUUCUCUCCAGUGUGCCCUCUAGAUAAUGACAUCUUGAAAUAUUUUAGUGGUGCAUUUAACCCAGCUGGGCAAAGUAGUAGAAAUGGUGCAAAACAUGGCACUGGCCCUUCUUCAGUGCCUAAUGCCCAGGAAGGUCCGAUUGACAAUGAUUCCCAUGGAAAAGAAACUGAAGACCACAAUCCCGCUCGCAGUUCAGAUCCUGAUAUGCGUUACAAUGGCCCUGUUCCUGAAAAAGCCCCAGAAAGAAGUCACCAUCCUCACCUAGAUGAAACCAUGAAACCCGAAGGGCACACACGCUAUAACUUUGUCUCUGCAAAUAGGGUUUUUCCUGCAUACUCAGCUGAUUGUAAAGAUGAUAGUCCUAUAUUUGUCAGCACUCCUGAAAGGAUGGAUGAAAAAAUACCUGAAGGCACAUCUUUGGCAAAGGAUGGACGGACUGCCCACAAUGAAGCUGCCAAACAGAAGAAAAAGAUGUGCUUUGCACCAGAUGAUGAUUCUUGUGUGGAUCAACUCAGAGAAGAUCCAGUUUUUACUAGCAGGCUUGGUGGCUUGAGACAAUCUGGAGAAUACUUUAAUGAUAAUGCUCCCACAAAUGAAGCAUCGGGGACUUGCUCCUUGCCUCAGAAGGAUUUGGUUGAAGAUCCUGAAAAGUUAGGACAAUCUUCUAUGAUAAUUGGCGGCCGUGAAAAGCACAAAGAAUCUGAUGAGUACAAAAGGGCACAAGAGGAGGAGUGGGCAUGCAGACAGCGUCAGUUAGCAAUACAGGCUGAAGAGGCAAAAGAGGCAAAGAGGCUACGGAAGAGAAAAAAGGCUGAAGCUUUGCGACUGCUCGACAUGGAGAAGAGACAAAAGCAAAGACUGGAAGAAGUCCGUGAAACACAAAGAAAGAGUGAAGAAACUAUACAGCUGAAGGAGCAGUGUCGAGGGGCGGUAAGAUUGGAGCUUGAAAUUAUUGAAAGGAGAUACACUGAUAUGACUUCAAUAUUGCGUGCAUUGGGCAUUCCUGUUGAAGGGGGCGAGGUUAAAGCUGCCUAUAAGCAAGCCCUCCUGAAGUUCCAUCCGGACAGAGUAUCGAGAAACGAUAUUUAUGAGCAGGUCAAAGCAGAGGAGACGUUCAAGUUCAUCUCGCGCUUUAAGGAGAAGCUGAGGAUAUAG
rnacentral:rRNA from 1 species